rnacentral:rRNA from 1 species
AAGGUAGCUAAUAAUAAGCUUGUUUUGAAAAAAUAAUGUAUAUAGAAAUUAUUAUUAGGUAAUAAAAAGAAUUGAGUGUUUAGUAUUGAAUAAAAAUAAAAUAUAAAAUAUAAGUACUGUGAAGGAAAAAUGAAAGAAAGUAAAAUUAAAGCAAAGUAAUAAAAUUAUGUACCUUUUGUAUCAGGGUUUAUUAAAUAAUAAUAAAUAUAUAAAAAUCUCGAUUUGAAGAGAGCUAAAAUUCUAAGUUAGUUAAAGUAACAAAUUUAUUAAACAUAUAAUUUUAGAAAUGAAAUAUUAACCGGUCUUCAAGGUAUCUAGUUUCUUAAGAAAUAAAUUUAAUUUAGGUUGUAUAAACUAUAUACAUAUAUUUUAUAUUUAUAUAACUAAAAUUUUAGGGGAUAAGCUCUAAAAUGAUUUAAAAACAGGAAAUAAACUAAAAGUUAUAGGCUUAAUAAUAGCCAUUAAAAUAAUAUGUUAUAAUUAACUUAUAGAAAAUAUAAUUUUUGUUAUUUUAAGAUUCUAUUAAGAAAUUUUUUAAAACGGAAGUAAAAAAAGUUAUAAUGAUAAAAUAAUUAUAAAAUAUAAGUCUAAUUAAAGAACUCGGCAAAGUAGAGCUCGCCUGUUUAUCAAAAACAUCGCUUUUAGAUAAAAUUAAAAGUAUGGCCUGCCCACUGAUAUAUUUAAAGGGCCGCGGUAUUUUGACCGUGCAAAGGUAGCAUAAUCAUUAGUCUUUUAAUUGGGGACUAGCAUGAAUGGCGAUACGAGGCUCUCACUGUCUCAAUUAGAAUAAUAAAAUUUAACUUUUUAGUUAAAAGGCUAAAAUAAAAUUAAGGGACGAGAAGACCCUAUAGAUCUUUAUAAAUAAUUAAUAAAAUUUUAAGAAUAAAUAAUAAUUAAAAUUAAGAAUUUAUUGAGUUGGGGUGAUUGAAUUAUAAUUAAACUAAUUUUAAUAUUAUCAUUAAUAUAUGUGUACAUGAUCCGUUAUGCGAAUAAAAGAAUAAGAUACCUUAGGGAUAACAGCGUAAUCUUCUUAGAGAGUUCAUAUCGAAAAGAAGGGUUGCGACCUCGAUGUUGGAUUAAAGGUAAUUUUAGGUGUAACCGCUUAAAGUCUAGGUCUGUUCGACCUAUAAAACUUUACAUGAUCUGAGUUCAGACCGGCGUGAGCCAGGUCGGUUUCUAUCUUUAAUAAAAUAGCUAUUUUAGUACGAAAGGACCAAAUAUCUAAGCUAAGCUUUAAAGUAGACUAUUAAU